rnacentral:misc_RNA from 1 species
GCAAAUUCCCAAAGCACAUUCAAAUUAAACUGGGAGGUGGUAGAAAAUAAUCCUAUUAAAAAUCCUAUUCGGGUAAAGACAGAUGGAUAUGGAACAAGCCAUUUCAAGGAGCAAUUUCCCAGGAUUUUCAGCUUUGCAACAGUAGAAGUGUAUCUCUGCAGAAAUAGAUCAUAACCUUUGGAAAGGUGUAGUAAUUGUCAAAGCGAGGGAUGAGCCAGGAAGCGGAUAGACUAUGUAGCAAAG